rnacentral:misc_RNA from 1 species
UUGAAUAAAUCUGAUGUGGUUGUAGCUGGCCCUCUAGAGGGUAUGUGCUCGCCCGUCACCUUUAUCUUUCCACCUGUGCACUUUUUGUAGACUUGGAUAUUAACUUUCUGAGGCAACUCAGUCGGGAGGAAUGCUACUUGUAGCUUUUCUUGAAUGUCUAGUCUAUGUUUUCAUAUACUCCAAAGAAUGUAAUAGAAUGUAUUAUUGGGCCUUGUGCCUAUAAACUAUAUA